AUUGAACGCUGGCGGCAGGCCUAACACAUGCAAGUCGAACGGUAACAGGAAGCAGCUUGCUGCUUUGCUGACGAGUGGCGGACGGGUGAGUAAUGUCUGGGAAACUGCCUGAUGGAGGGGGAUAACUACUGGAAACGGUAGCUAAUACCGCAUAACGUCGCAAGACCAAAGAGGGGGACCUUCGGGCCUCUUGCCAUCGGAUGUGCCCAGAUGGGGUUAGCUAGUAGGUGGGGUAACGGCUCACCUAGGCGACGAUCCCUAGCUGGUCUGAGAGGAUGACCAGCCACACUGGAACUGAGACACGGUCCAGACUCCUACGGGAGGCAGCAGUGGGGAAUAUUGCACAAUGGGCGCAAGCCUGAUGCAGCCAUGCCGCGUGUAUGAAGAAGGCCUUCGGGUUGUAAAGUACUUUCAGCGGGGAGGAAGGGAGUAAAGUUAAUACCUUUGCUCAUUGACGUUACCCGCAGAAGAAGCACCGGCUAACUCCGUG
rnacentral:rRNA from 1 species